AGUUCAGACGUGUGCUCUUCCGAUCUAGAAGAGGGGACCAGGGUUGCACGUUCCGUCUAUAAACACGGGCCGGGGAGUUCAUAGCUGUGGCAAGCCUAAGGGUUUAAGCCCGCAGGCGUAGGGAAACCGACAUGCACGCAACCAGCUUGUCUGGUGAGGUGCGGAGUCUGAAAGGGCUCGGAGUCACAGCUUUGAAACUAGAAACCAGGCGAUCUAGCCCUGGGCAGGGCGAAGCUGGGCGAAAGCCCAGUGGAGGCUCGCAAGGGUGCUGACGUGCAAAUCGUUCUUCAGACCUGGGGCUAGGGGCUAAAGACCAAUCUAGCCUGGUGAUAUCUAGUUCCCUCCAAAGUUGGUCGCAGCCAAGUCCUGGACGAGGCGGCCGAUGGGGUAGAGCACUGAUUAGGAAGUAAGGAUCCGAAAGGGUCCAUUUCUUUUUCAAACUCCGAAUCUGUCGGCGUCGUAGACUCCGGGAAACGGGUUAGUGGGCGUAAGGUCCACGACCGAGAGGGGGACAACCCAGACUGAGGUUAAGGUCCCCAAAUGCUGGCCAAAUGUCAAACUAAAGGGCGUCGUCAGCCUCAGACAGCGGGGAGGUAGGCUCAGAAGCAGCCACCCUUCAAAGAAAGCGUAACAGCUCACCCGCCGAGGCUAACGGCCCCGAAAAUUGACGGGGCUAAGCCAGCCACCGAGACCUCAGAGCGCAACCUAGUGUUGCGUUGGUAGGAAGGCGUCCUGACUGGGCAGAAGCUGGGCCGUGAGGUCCAGUGGACCGGUUCAGGAGUGCAGAUCCCGGCAGUAGUAACAGCAAAGAGGGGUGAGAAUCCCCUCCGCCGAAGGGGCCAGGGUUCCCCGGCAACGAUCGUCAGCCGGGGGUUAGUCGGUCCUAAGAUGUGGCCUAACCGACCAUGUCGAAAGGGAAUCCGGUUAAGAUCCCGGAACCACGAAGGUACGCGCGGCAACGCAAGCUCAACGUCUGACGCUUCGAGGUAGGCUGAGCAAGGCUGUCGCCUUGUUUAACCAUAUAAGUCUGGGGAGUGCCGCAAUGGCGAGAACCAGGCGAAAAGGGGAAUAGCUGCCCGUUUUAGGGCGGUUCAGCUGAUUCUUGGAGCCAGUGAAAAGGAUGUUGGGAAGGAUUCUUCGUGUCCGUACCUAGAACCGACACAGGUGUCCCUAGGCGAGAAACCUUAGGCGUGUCGGGUAUACACUGGAGCGAGGGAACUCGACAAAUUAGCCCCGUACCUUUGGUAUAAGGGGUGCCUGCUGUUUUAGCCUUUGGCUGGGAUAGCAGGUCGCAGUGGCAAGUGGGUCCCGACUGUUUAAUAAAAACACAGGAAACCGCAAGCGCGAAAGCGUGUGAACGGUUUCUGAAUCCUGGCCAGUACAGGUACCUGAAAUCCGGGUCCAACCGGCUUAAGGGCCUGCAAACGCCGGGAGUAACUCUGACUCUCUCAAGGUAGCCAAAUGCCUUGUCGGGUAAGUUCCGACGUGCAUGAAUGGAUCAACGAGGGCCCCGCUGUCCCCACGUAGUACCCGGUGAAACCACAUAACGUGGACGAACAGUCCACGAACUCCCAGCGGGAAAAGAAGUCCCUGUGGAGUUUUACUGCAGCCUGCUGCUGGAAUACGUUUGCGGAUGCAGAGCGUAGACGGAAGCUGCUUGAUCUUGGUUUCUCCGGGAGCCAGGGGAGGCGACAAUGGAACACCGUCCUUCUGCGGCCGUGUUUCUAACCGGCGCAUCGGCGCUGGGACAACGGUUGGUGGGCAGUUUGGCUGGGGCGGCACGCCCUUGAAAAGAUAUCAAGGGCGCCCUAAGGUCGGCUCAGACGGGACAGAAACCCGUCGUAGAGUGCAAAGGCAAAAGCCGGCCUGACUGGAUCCUCCAAAGUAAGGGAUCCAGAGGCGAAAGCCGGGCUUAGCGAUCAUCCAUGUCCCCCUUGGUGGGGGCUGGAUGUGUCAGAAAAAUUACCCUAGGGAUAACAGGCUCGUCGCGGGCGAGAGUCCCUAUCGACCCCGCGGCUUGGUACCUCGAUGUCGGCUCUUCCUAUCCUGGCCCUGCAUAAGGGGCCAAGGGUGAGGCUGCUCGCCUAUUAAAAGGGAACGUGAGCUGGGUUUAGACCGUCGUGAGACAGGUCGGACUUUAUCUGCUGGGAGUGCUGGCUGCCUGAGGGGAAAGGGUUCCUAGUACGAGAGGAACGGAACGCUGUGGCCACUAGUUAACCGGUUGUCCGACAGGGCAGAUGCCGGGCAGCCACGCCAUCGAGGAUAAGGGCUGAAAGCAUCUAAGCCCGAAGCCUCUCCCGAAAAUAGGCAGCCAAUCCCCUAUAAGCUGGGCUGGCAACGGCCUGAGCUUUGGGGACGAGGGCUCCCAUAAAAGAUGGGUUUAAUGGAGCUGGGGUGUACGCUGGAAGACUUCGGUCGACCAGCUCAGCCUGCGGCCUCCAACCGCCCAA
rnacentral:rRNA from 1 species